AGGAGCCCAGAGGGGUGAGCCUAGCUGAAAAGGGAGUAUUGAAAGGGAAGAGAAGAGAAGGAGGAAGGAAGGAGAGAGGACGGAAGAGAGGAAGAGAGAGACGAAGGCUUGAGAGGAAGACAAAGAGGAGGAAGACCAAGGAAGGAAAUCAACAGAAAGGAAGAAAGAGGAAGAGAAAGGGAGAGAAAGAGAAGAGGAAAGAAGACCAAGGAAGGAAAUCAACAGAGAGGAAGAGAAAGGGAGAGAAAGGGAAGCAAGAAGAGAGGAAAAGACCAAGGAAGGAAAUCAACAGAAAGGAAGAGAAAGGAAGAGAAAGAGAAGAGGGAAAGACAAAAGAAGGAAAUCAACAGAGAGAAAGAGGAAAGGGAGAAAACGAAGAAAGACAAGAGGAAAGAAGACCAAGAAAGGAAAUCAGGAGCUCCUGAAGGCUGCCUGGCUGGUGCCUCCCCAACACCUGCAGAAGCAGCUUAGUGGAGGACUGACGCCCGGCUGGACCCACACGUGCAGGAGCACACUCCCAGACCUCGCUGGUUCCCUCGGCAGCAAGGGGUCUACGAACGAGUUAAAUUUGAAUCCGACAUUCUUGUAACGUAUUGCAUUUCAUGUAAUUGUUAUCUUGUUCCUUUAAUAAACUGAUUCCACACAUU